UCCCUUUCAGUGUCGCACCUGGAGAGUUUCCAGUCCUCUACCAGUCUCGAUUAUGGGAGGGAGAGUCAAGCAGAGGCCUAUCCAUUCCAUUCCUAGCUUACCAGUGGCUAGCGAGUGGAAGACCAUCUGCUACAAGU